rnacentral:snRNA from 1 species
GGAUGUGAGGGCGACCUGGCUGCGACACCUGUCACCUCACUGCUCACCAGGGUUGGUUUGGCUGAUCUGGCUGGCUAGGCGGGUGUCCCUUUCUCCCUCACCGCUCUAUAUGCUUCCCUCCCAGAGCUGCACGCUCAGUGGGAGAGAACAACCACCCCUGACAGAGGAAAUCCAUUUCCUCAGUCAGGCCUACGCGAGUAGCUGUGCCCCCCUGCUAGAACCUCCAAACAAGCUCUCAGAGUAUAGGCUCGUAUUAGGGACCUGUCCUGUUGCUGAGACUCAAUAUUCAACACCCAUAAUUUAAGGGAGGAGAGAUUUAU